GAAUCCUGCCUAGCAGAAUGACCAGAGAACUCGUAACGAACUCAAUGGGGACGGUGGGAUUUUUCUCAUCGUCCCUCGACGUCGGGAUCGCACGGGUGCCUAGAGCACUCGGGCUUUCCUUGGCGGCACAACGAACCCCGGCGCGGAACGCGCCAAGGAACUUGAAAAGAGAGCGAUGCUCCCAUCACCCCAGACAUGGUGCGUGUGUGGGAUGCCAUCCAAUCUCCUAUUAGUCAUAACGACUCUCGGCAACGGAUAUCUCGGCUCUCGCAUCGAUGAAGAACGUAGCGAACUGCGAUACUUGGUGUGAAUUGCAGAAUCCCGUGAACCAUCGAGUCUUUGAACGCAAGUUGCGCCCGAAGCCAUUCGGUCGAGGGCACGUUUGCCUGGGUGUCACACACGGCGUUGCCCCUAAUCCCUCGCCCAAUUGUUUGGGCGGGCGGGACUCGGGUGCGUAUGUUGGCCUCCCGCGACGACUUCGUCCCGGUUGGCCCAAAUUCGAGCGCUGAGCGAUUAGCACCACGGCAUUCGGUGGUUGAUGAGACCCCAAUGAUCAAUGUCAUGCGUGUCGCUCGUGCGAGCGCUCUACGAAUCUACUCUUUACCAAC
rnacentral:rRNA from 1 species